rnacentral:tRNA from 1 species
GGGUCUGUAGCUCAGUUGGUUAGAGCGCACCCCUGAUAAGGUAGGUCGGAGGUUCAAAUCCUCCCAGACCCACCA